CCUACGGGGGACAGCAGUGAGGAAUAUUGGUCAAUGGGCGGAAGCCUGAACCAGCCAAGUAGCGUGAAGGAAGACGGCCCUAUGGGUUGUAAACCGCUUUUAUCCGGGAAUAAAGGUCCCUACGUGUAGGGUUUUGCAUGUACCGUAUGAAUAAGGACCGGCUAAUUCCGUGCCAGCAGCCGCGGUAAUACGGAAGGUCCGGGCGUUAUCCGGAUUUAUUGGGUUUAAAGGGUGCGUAGGCCGCAUGUCAAGCGUGCUGUGAAAUGUUCGGGCUCAACCCUGUCAUUGCAGCGCAAACUGGCGUGCUUGAGUGCGCGGAAAGCAGGCGGAAUUCGUGGUGUAGCGGUGAAAUGCUUAGAUAUGACGAAGAACCCCGAUUGCGAAGGCAGCUUGCUGCAGCGUAACUGACGCUGAUGCUCGAAAGCGCGGGUAUCGAACAGGAUUAGAUACCCCGGUAGUC
rnacentral:rRNA from 1 species